ACUCUCGGUGCCCUGACGGGCAUAACAGAGAAUCCGGUGCGAUGCCGGAGCGGUCCCGCCACUGUAUCAGGGAGCGGAUUUCACGUGAGGUCACUGGCUACUAGCUGGGAAGACUGAAAUCCCGCGAUGAACUGGAGCCAGGAGAACUACCGAGAUG
rnacentral:ncRNA from 1 species